GACGAACGCUGGCGGCGUGCUUAACACAUGCAAGUCGAACGGAAAGGCCCUGCUUUUGUGGGGUGCUCGAGUGGCGAACGGGUGAGUAACACGUGAGUAACCUGCCCUUGACUUUGGGAUAACUUCAGGAAACUGGGGCUAAUACCGGAUAGGAGCUCCUGCUGCAUGGUGGGGGUUGGAAAGUUUCGGCGGUUGGGGAUGGACUCGCGGCUUAUCAGCUUGUUGGUGGGGUAGUGGCUUACCAAGGCUUUGACGGGUAGCCGGCCUGAGAGGGUGACCGGGCACAAUGGGACUGAGAUACGGCCCAGACUGCUACGGGAGGCAGCAGGGGGGAAUAUUGCACAAUGGGCCGAAGCCUGAUGCAGCAACGCCGCGUGCGGGAUGACGGCCUUCGGGUUGUAAACCGCUUUCGCCUGUGACGAAGCGUGAGUGACGGUAAUGGGUAAAGAAGCACCGGCUAACUACGUG
rnacentral:rRNA from 1 species